CUGAUUUGAGGUCAAGUUUGAAGAUAUACGUGGUGGACGUUACCGCCGCAAGCAAUGUUUUUGGUUAGACCUAAGCCAUUGUCAAAGCGAUCCCGCCUUACCACUACCGUCUUUCAAGCAAACCCAAGUCGUAUUGCUCAACACCAAACCCAGCGGUUUGAGGGAGAAACGACGCUCAAACAGGCAUGCCCUCCGGAAUACCAGAGGGCGCAAUGUGCGUUCAAAGAUUCGAUGAUUCACGAAUAUCUGCAAUUCAUAUUACGUAUCGCAUUUCGCUGCGUUCUUCAUCGAUGCGAGAACCAAGAGAUCCGUUGUUGAAAGUUUUGACUAUUUAGUAAUAAUCUGGUGUGACAAGUUAAUAAAAAAUUGGUUGUAAGUUUAGACCUCUGGCGGCAGGCUGGGCCCACCGCCAAAGCAAGUUUGUUUCAAAGAAAAACACAUGUGGUGCAAUUAAGCAAAUCAGUAAUGAUCCUUCCGCAGGUUCACCCUACGGAAGG
rnacentral:misc_RNA from 1 species